rnacentral:snRNA from 1 species
AUGCCUUAAACUUAUGAGUAAAAAAAAAUAACGAUUCAGGGUGAUGCCUGAAUCUUCACUGCUAAUGUGAGACGAGACAAAUUUUUAAGUGGGUAAAAGUCACCCUAAAGUGACCCACCUACUUCAAGGGAUGCCUGGGAAUCAUGAUCUUCCCA